UACGAAGGGGGCUAGCGUUGUUCGGAUUUACUGGGCGUAAAGCGCACGUAGGCGGAUUGGUCAGUUAGGGGUGAAAUCCCAGAGCUCAACUCUGGAACUGCCUUUAAUACUGCCAGUCUAGAGUCCGGAAGAGGUAAGUGGAACUCCUAGUGUAGAGGUGGAAUUCGUAGAUAUUAGGAAGAACACCAGUGGCGAAGGCGGCUUACUGGUCCGGUACUGACGCUGAGGUGCGAAAGCGUGGGGAGCGAAUGGG
rnacentral:rRNA from 1 species